UUGGCUCAGUGGGUUAAAGCGUCUGCCUGCGGCUUGGGCCAUGAUUCACAGUCUAAGCCUGAGAUCGAAUCCGCAGUCGGGAUUCUGGAGCCUGCUGAACCUUUGCCCCUCCCGUUUCCCCUCUCCCGGCGCGCUUUAGCUUUCGCUUUAGCUCGCACAACCUCCAACAAAGCACGCCGCACUUUCAGCGGGGACAUUUGCAGACCGAAGCCCCUUCAGCAAUGGCCCAGACGGGUGAGACACCACGGGGCGAAGCCACUUCGACACGGGGGACGAUGGCGAAGCCGCGGUGGCGUUCGGAGAACACGAUGAUGGGACGAUGAGGUUCUGCGAGUCAGGGAUUCAAAGGAGUGGCUUAUCUCUGCUGCACAUCUGAGCCCUCAGCUUGGAACACAGCCCACUGGAUGGCUGGGGCUGACUUGACAGUGGGUAGACAUUUUCGCUGGUACGUCUGAUGCUUAUAUGUCUCAGCUAGGAUCUCAGCUGGCACUGGGUGCAGGAGCACCUCGCUAUCACUUCUCCUUGAGGCCUGGUUUCUCUGACUGUGGAACCGGUACAGUCACACUGUUUGCGUAGGGACCGAGGGCUCCAAAAUGAGGGGCCCAAUGACAAAGCUGUAUCAUCUUUCAUGACCUAACCCAGUGGUUCUCAGUGAGAAUGAUUUUGUCCCCCAGGGGACUUUUGGCAAUGUCUGGAGACAUUUUUAGUUGUCACAACUGGUCAGGGCUCUACUGGCAGCUGAUGGGUAUAAGCCACGGAGGCUGCUACUAUCCCACGGUGCCUGGGACAGGGCCCCACAACAGAGCGUUGUCUGGUCUCAAGUAUCAGUAGUGUCAAGGGUGAUAAACUCUAACAUAAUCGUGGAAGUCACGCAACAUUAUUUCCUUUUUUUAAAAAAGAUUUUAUUUAUUUAUUCGACAGAGAGAGAGACAGCCAGCGAGAGAGGGAACACAAGCAGGGGGAGUGGGAGAGGAAGAAGCAGGCUCAUAGCAGAGGAGCCUGAUGUGGGGCUCGAUCCCAUAACGCUGGGAUCACGCCCUGAGCCGAAGGCAGACGCUUAACUGCUGUGCCACCCAGGCACCCCAUGCAACGUUAUUUCUAACAGAUUCUUUUAUAAGCAAUUCCCAGGCCCUCCCAUACUUAAUGGGGGAGGUGAAUUAGAGUCAACCUUUUGAGAAAUGGCAAAGUUCUCAAGACACGUGUGGGAUGGGAGGUACUGUUGUGGCCAUCUUUGGAAGACAGUCUGUCGCAGAGUCUCCCUGGGAUUUCUCUCUCUCUGUGAUUUUGUCGUACUCACCUUGUAGGUUGUGUGUUUUCUGCUCUUAGAAGCCAAGCUUAUUGAAUCCGCUUGUCAUCUUCCAGGUCUUCCAGAUCAGUGUUGCCAAUUCAAGGGACUUGGGUGCAAGAUGUGAUCACAUUGCUGAUUUUUAAUAUUCAAAAUAUCUAUACAAUAGCUAUGAGAGAGUAACGGACAAGCUUUCUUUGUUAUAGGUUUCCCCCAUCCUCAUUUUUUUCUUUUCACAUCAGUUGAAGAAAGAAGAGAUUUUUUUCCCUUAAGAUCUUUCAGAUAUUUAAAAAACAGUUUGAAACAUUAUUUCUGUGUAUAAAAUAAAAGGGGGCACCUGCCAGCCUCCUCACACCCUCCCCCCAAAAAUUUAACACCGAAUUUUCUUCUCUCUGACCACUGACGGCACAGAUGGGGCUGAAGGCUGUGCUUACUCUCUCUGGUUACUCUCACACACCUUCCUUUCCUGGAAUGUAAUGAAGCCCAGCAGGUGCAGACCAACAGCAACAGGUCUAUAGUCAAACCAAGUUAGAUUUCUUAACUGUUGCUGUGAGAUCAUCCACCAUAAAGGAUCACGAUAAAGUUCAGUCGGAAGGGAUAGGAAGGGUAUUCUCAGAGGGUUUGAACUUGGACUACAUGAGUCUAAGGAAAUCGGGGAAAAGAAUAUCAGCUCUGGGCUACCUCUUGAGCUAGCGUUUAUCCCAGAGGUUCUAGGAACACGGUGGAGUUAGGGUAGUCAUUGGUAAGAAAGCAAUAAUCACUCAAAAGCUGAGAGGACUGUGUGUCACGGGCCACGGGACUGAGCAGGAUCCUGAUAUCGUUUCCUUGGAACCUAUAAUACCAGGAAAAAUGUGGAGUGUAGUGGAUGAAAACCUGACCUACGAAGCUUUGCGUUUGGGUUGGAAAUUGGGUUGCUGUUCUCUUGUGCCCAAGUGGCCAUGUGGCUCAGUCUUCAAAAAGAGGACACUCAGAAAUAUGCUAUCAGACAAAUAGACGCUAACCUAUAAUGUGAAAGAACAAUGUUCCUCAGUACUAUAUUCUUGAUAUUAAUAAAAGCAGUUUUUAAGGGUCAAAUGCCAAUUUGCGUAGAGGAAUAGAAUUAUGGGGACUGUGGAAGAGGUUAGGUCCGGGGCGUGAAGUCAUUCCUAAGGGCUGGACAGGGCUGUUAUGGAGUUAGACUAUUGCUGAGAUUUUUCUCUGUGCCCCCGGUCUCCUGAGAGCCAGCAGUGUGUGUGUGUGGGGGGGGAAUUACACAUAAGGUGAACUAGAGAAAAACCAAUCACUCUUUCUGUGCAGGCAUGGAGCUUAGGCGUAGCAAGUUCUGCGUGUUUCUUGUGCCUGAUACCACCGUCUUGAGUCAUCUCCCUAACGGCAUCCUGAACAUUUGUAUGAUUAAGUAUUCAAAAACUGCCCAUUUCUUCAAAUAGAAUGGCUGGGUCCUGUGACAUCACUGAAGUGUAGUAACCACCCCAGGGAAGUGCAAUUAUGGACCAGAAUGAUCAGUUGUUUUCAUGAUUUUUUAAAAUAAAACGUCCAGCUGGUGACUAGUUUAUAGUUCAGGACAGGUUCAUAGCUGUAAGACGGCUAAUCCUGUCAUUCUCCUGAAUAAACCCCCUUCCUGCUCCUGCCCCUGCACGAGACCAAGGCUUCAGCAGACUUAGGUCAUUCUCCAAGUUAUAAUCCUGAUUGCUACUUAGAUCUUGACAGGGCUUCUCUUUUACUCCACAUAAGCAGGGUGCCAUUCCCUGGGAGCGUUGACCAGCUGGAAGUGCCCAGCAGGGAAUCCUCAUCCAUUUCUAGACAUUGGGUUUGGGAGCUAAGUUGAGAGGGAUUUUCUUGAGUUUGGUCUACGCGUACAGGUUUUCCCAAAUGAUAGCCACGAACCUGUUGCACCUGGCUGAAUUAGCUCCCAGGUAAGUGGUGAGGGUGAAUAUAGAAUAUAUUAAAACCCAAGAAGUGAACAAAGUAGACAGUGUCAGUGGAACCCAUAACCUACUCCCCUUGCAGGAUAAAGUCAACAGUUCAGGGCCUGGGUGAGCUCAGUAAGGGAGAGCAGCUUUGAAGGUUAGAAAACUCUUUCCCCAGUCUUUGAGCUUAAGUGACAUCUUCAGCUAUAUCUGUAUGCAUGACAUGUGGAAGGUUUUGUGAAAUCUGUGAUUUUUUCAUUUAGAGAAGGAUGGAGAUAUUAAUAAAAAACUGUAGUAAAAUUUUUGCCUAGUAUGAAGAAAUGUUAAUAUUGACUCUGGGAUUCUAUAUUAAGUAAGUCUUGUUUAAUGAUUUACCAUGAAUUAAAGUUUUUAUGAAUCAUGAAUUCCUGGAUGGAAGAAUGUUUCCUUCACUUCUAAGUGAUAAACUAUGCUUCCCAACUACGAUAAAGUUGUUCGAGUCAGUAAAAACUAGAGCUGCCCUUUGACCCAUGCAUAAACUGAUGGUGCUGACCGGCUCUUGGGUGAAAUGUGGCAAAGGAUGAUAAACCUCUACCUAUACAGUUACUGGAAGAUGGACCAGUAAAGAGUCAGGAUACUCUAUGGACUUAGAACUGAGGAUGGGGCUGGACACAGUGAAACAUCUGGCCUUGGCUGCUGCCAUCAGCUUUAUACUCAUCUAAGAUUGCAUGAAAUACAACCUUGCCCUUCAGCUCUGUCUGGAAAAGAAAGAUGGGCAUAUGCGUACUCUUGAUAGCCUUCAGGAGGCAUCAGUAAGAAGUCAACUGUUUUCAGUCACAUCCAUCCUAAGGAAAAGAAUGCUUUAUGUAUGGGAACAGUUUACUCUGAGACAGUAUUUUGGACAAUUAGAAAUGGGUAGUUAUGCCACUCUUCCGAUAGCCAAGAAACAGGCUUUCUUUGAGCUCAUGGAUGGUACUCUAAAGAAUUUGAAUCGGCUGGUUCAGAAGUCAGUGUGUGGUUAUGUAAAUAUGCUGCUGUCCAGGCUGAGUGAAAGCUAUGUGGCUGGAGCAGUGAUCUAAUCCUAGCAUCCGCAUGGGCAAGCUGAUAUAAAAAGCCCUUAGAAUAUUAUGUUUGUCAGAUUUAUUUAUACCUGGAUAUAUUACAUUCUUUACGUAAUUGCAAAAUAUUUAUAAGUGUCUUCAGGAUGAGGCUCUUUGCUAAAAAAAAAUUUAAAAGGAAUGGGGAAUGCUCUCCCCCUGCCCAAGGAAGGCAUGCAGUAGUGGGUAUGGAUGCUUUGAUAAAAUGUUGCAGAUUUUGGGGCACCCUCUGACUCUUGGUUUGGCUCAGGUCAUGAUCUCAGGGUCGUGGGAUUGAGCUCCUUGUGGGGCUCCAAGCCCAGAACAGGGGUCUGCUUAGGUUUCUCUCCCUCUCUCUUUCCCCGCCCCCUCUGGUCCUCCCCCCAUGUGCAGUGCCUUUGCGCAUGCUAAGUAAAUAAAUAAAAUCCUUUAAAAAAUGUCACAGACUUUAGAUAUUUGGCAAUUUAUAUGAAUUAAUCAAUUAAAUAAAGGUCAAAGCAAUUUAAACGUGUAUUUUAUGUGAUGCCAAAAAAUACAUUCUCUUUGAUUAUCUGACCCACUCUAUCCACCAAAAGUUAUCAUAGGUUUCAUAUAUUUAAUUAGAUAAUUGAGUAUGAUGUGAAGACUUGAUGCUACAAAAAUUCCUUGUGGUUUUUGUCAUUCCUGGGGUUUUGGGGAUUUUGUUGUUGUUUUUCAGAAGAUAGGUUUUCUGGAAUCUAUCUAAAAUGAGGACUUUUAAUUCCAACCAGUAGAUGGCAGAAUAAUAUCAGUCCCUAGAAAGUGGUUGCUCAGAGACUGUUACCAAGAAAAUAGAGGCAUGAAAUCUAUUAUUCAUGCAUUUGGUUAAGAACACUGCACCAGUUCUGCACUGUGAACAAUCACCUUUAAUGAACAAAAGCAAGAAUAUCUGUCUUUAACAAAGAAAUUAGAAAACUAUAAUCACCCCUAUUAAAAUUACCUACAAGACACGAUGACUUGUCACUACUAUAAUUUUGCCGGAAGUAUUAACAAAUGUUUCAAGUUAUGAUACAAAUAAUAUGAAACAUGGUUUUUAUACUGAGCAGAUAAUAUGAUUCUCUAGGGUGAAAACACGAGAGAAUCCACCCAAAAAUCUGUUACAAAUCAAUGAGACUUAAUGCUUCAUCCAAAAACUUAAGAAUCAAUGACGGUAAUGAUGACAGAAAACCAACAUGCUAAAAUCAUGUAUUUCCUAUUACUGCUGCAAUAAAGUUUCAAAUACAAUGUGAAAUCAGCAAUCUAGGGGCGCCUGGGUGGCUCAGUCGUUAAGUGUCUGCCUUCAGCUCAGGGCGUGAUCCCAGGGUCUUGGGAUUGAGCCCCACAUUGGGCUCCCUGCUCUGCUGGGAGCCUGCUUCUUCCUCUCCCACUCCCCGGGCUUGUGUUCCAUCUUUCACUGGCUGUCUCUCUCUCUGUCAAAUAAAUAAAUAAAAUCUUAAAGAAAUAAAUAAAAAAUAAAACAGCAAUCUAUAUGCCAAAGACAAUGUGAAGAAAAGGUCAUUGGAACUGAGGAAAGGGAUCCUAAGUGAUCCAUAUAAGAUUUUAUUAUAUGAUUUUAAAAAGCAUAAAAUUCAGUGAGAAAGUAAAAAUUAUUCAAAAAGUGGUGAUGGGACAAUUGGAUAAUAAUUUGAAAACAUUUUAGAUUUUAUGCUAGAAGUCUAGUAAAAAUUGAUAUUCAUAACAAUAAUAUAAAAUACCGGAAUAACUAUACCAUAUCAUGGUGGGAAAAAAUACACAAGAAAAUAUUUAAAAAUGACAAAGGAAAAAGUAAUUUCACUGCAUUACCAAAAAAAUUUUGCAUGUUAAGACAUAUUCUCAAACAAAAAAGAUGGGAAAAUACUUACUGUAAAUAGAGACUAAUACUAAUGUAAAAGGAAUUUUGAAAAUUUUAAAAAGUCAUGUUCAUUUCAAUCAAAAAGACGAAAAGCUAUUUGAACAAGAGAUAAGCAGUAAAUCCUGCCUUAGCAAGUUAAGAAUUGGCACUAAUAAAGCAAUAGGAUAAAGAACGAGAAAUGUGACACCAGUACUACAUUAAAAAAAAAAGUAAAAUUAUCACCAGAAGUUCAAGA